rnacentral:rRNA from 1 species
UACGUAGGGUGCAAGCGUUGUCCGGAAUUAUUGGGCGUAAAGAGCUCGUAGGCGGCUUGUUGCGUCGGCUGUGAAAACCCGCGGCUUAACUGUGGGCUUGCAGCUGAUACGGGCAGGCUAGAGUUCGGUAGGGGAGACUGGAAUUCCUGGUGUAGCGGUGAAAUGCGCAGAUAUCAGGAGGAACACCGGUGGCGAAGGCGGGUCUCUGGGCCGAUACUGACGCUGAGGAGCGAAAGCGUGGGGAGCGAACAGG